rnacentral:rRNA from 1 species
GUGUCAGCAGCCGCGGUAAUACCAGCUCUCCGAGUGGUGGGGAUGAUUAUUGGGCCUAAAGCAUCCGUAGCCGGCUGGACAAGUCCCCUGUUAAAUCCAACGAUCCAAUCGUUGGUCUGCGGGGGAUACUGUCCGGCUUGGGGGCGGGAGAGGCCGCCGGUAUUUCCGGGGUAGGGGUGAAAUCCUAUAAUCCCGGGAGGACCACCAGUGGCGAAGGCUGUCGGCUAGAACGCGCCCGACGGUGAGGGAUGAAAGCUGGGGGAGCGAACCGGAUUAGAUACCCGGGUAGGCCCAGCUGUAAACGAUGCAGGCUUGGUGUUAGGGCGGCUACGUGCCGCUCUAGUGCCGCAGGGAAGCUGUUAAGCCUGCCGCCUGGGGAGUACGGUCGCAAGGCUGAAACUUAAAUGAAUUGGCGGGG